rnacentral:rRNA from 1 species
AUUGAACGCUGGCGGCAUGCUUUACACAUGCAAGUCGAACGGUAACAGGUUAAGCUGACGAGUGGCGAACGGGUGAGUAAUGCAUCGGAACGUGCCCGGUCGUGGGGGAUAACGCAGCGAAAGCUGCGCUAAUACCGCAUACGAUCUAAGGAUGAAAGCUGGGGACCGUAAGGCCUCGCGCGAUCGGAGCGGCCGAUGUCAGAUUAGGUAGUUGGUGGGGUAAAGGCACACCAAGCCAACGAUCUGUAGCUGGUCUGAGAGGACGACCAGCCACACGGGGACUGAGACACGGCCCAGACUCCUGCGGGAGGCAGCAGUGGGGAAUUUUGGACAAUGGGCGAAAGCCUGAUUCAGCAAUGCCGCGUGCAGGAAGAAGGCCUUCGGGUUGUAAACUGCUUUUGUACGGAGCGAAAAGGUCUCCUCUAAUACAGGGGGCUCAUGACGGUACCGUAAGAAUAAGCACCGGCUAACUACGUGCCAGCAGCCGCCGUAA